GCGAGCGGCGGAUGGGUGAGUAACACGUGGGGAACCUGCCCCUGAGUCUGGGAUACCAUUUGGAAACAGGUGCUAAUACCGGAUAAUAAAGCAGAUCGCAUGAUCAGCUUUUGAAAGGCGGCGUAAGCUGUCGCUAAGGGAUGGCCCCGCGGUGCAUUAGCUAGUUGGUAAGGUAACGGCUUACCAAGGCGACGAUGCAUAGCCGAGUUGAGAGACUGAUCGGCCACAUUGGGACUGAGACACGGCCCAAACUCCUACGGGAGGCAGCAGUAGGGAAUCUUCCACAAUGGACGCAAGUCUGAUGGAGCAACGCCGCGUGAGUGAAGAAGGUUUUCGGAUCGUAAAGCUCUGUUGUUGGUGAAGAAGGAUAGAGGUAGUAACUGGCCUUUAUUUGACGGUAAUCAACCAGAAAGUCACGGCUAACUACGUGCCAGCAGCCGCGGUAAUACGUAGGUGGCAAGCGUUGUCCGGAUUUAUUGGGCGUAAAGCGAGCGCAGGCGGAAAAAUAAGUCUAAUGUGAAAGCCCUCGGCUUAACCGAGGAACUGCAUCGGAAACUGCUUUUCUUGAGUGCAGAAGAGGAGAGUGGAACUCCAUGUGUAGCGGUGGAAUGCGUAGAUAUAUGGAAGAACACCAGUGGCGAAGGCGGCUCUCUGGUCUGCAACUGACGCUGAGGCUCGAAAGCAUGGGUAGCGAACAGGAUUAGAUACCCUGGUAGUCCAUGCCGUAAACGAUGAGUGCUAAGUGUUGGGAGGUUUCCGCCUCUCAGUGCUGCAGCUAACGCAUUAAGCACUCCGCCUGGGGAGUACGACCGCAAGGGUUGAAACUCAAAGGAAUUGACGGGGGCCC
rnacentral:rRNA from 1 species